GUCCCAGUAGCUCAGUCGGAUAGAGCGGCAGCCUCCUAAGCUGCAGGCCGUAGGUUCAAUUCCUGCCUGGGACG
rnacentral:tRNA from 1 species